rnacentral:rRNA from 1 species
AUUGAACGCUGGCGGCAUGCCUUACACAUGCAAGUCGAACGGUAACGCGGGGCAACCUGGCGGCGAGUGGCGAACGGGUGAGUAAUAUAUCGGAACGUGCCCAGUCGUGGGGGAUAACUGCUCGAAAGAGCAGCUAAUACCGCAUACGACCUGAGGGUGAAAGCGGGGGAUCUUCGGACCUCGCGCGAUUGGAGCGGCCGAUAUCAGAUUAGGUAGUUGGUGGGGUAAAGGCCACCAAGCCGACGAUCUGUAGCUGGUCUGAGAGGACGACCAGCCACACUGGGACUGAGACACGGCCCAGACUCCUACGGGAGGCAGCAGUGGGGAAUUUUGGACAAUGGGGCAACCCUGAUCCAGCCAUGCCGCGUGCGGGAAGAAGGCC